rnacentral:rRNA from 1 species
UGCANCCAUGCCGCGUGUAUGAAGAAGGCCUUCGGGUUGUAAAGUACUUUCAGCGGGGAGGAAGGCGAUAAGGUUAAUAACCUUGUCGAUUGACGUUACCCGCANAAGAAGCACCGGCUAACUCCGUGCCAGCAGCCGCGGUAAUACGGAGGGUGCAAGCGUUAAUCGGAAUUACUGGGCGUAAAGCGCACGCAGGCGGUCUGUCAAGUCNGAUGUGAAAUCCCCGGGCUCAACCUGGGAACUGCAUUCAAAACUGGC